UACGUAGGGGGCAAGCGUUGUCCGGAUUCAUUGGGCGUAAAGAGCGCGUAGGCGGUCCGAUAAGUCGGCUGUGAAGGUCAGGGGCUCAACCCUUGGAAGCCGGCCGAUACUGUCGGACUAGAGUCCGGAAGAGGCGAGUGGAAUUCCCGGUGUAGCGGUGAAAUGCGCAGAUAUCGGGAGGAACACCAAUGGCGAAGGCAGCUCGCUGGGACGGUACUGACGCUGAGGUGCGAAAGCGUGGGGAGCAAACAGG
rnacentral:rRNA from 1 species